rnacentral:rRNA from 1 species
GCAGGCCUAACACAUGCAAGUCGAGCGGAUGAAAGGAGCUUGCUCCUGGAUUCAGCGGCGGACGGGUGAGUAAUGCCUAGGAAUCUGCCUGGUAGUGGGGGACAACGUUUCGAAAGGAACGCUAAUACCGCAUACGUCCUACGGGAGAAAGCAGGGGACCUUCGGGCCUUGCGCUAUCAGAUGAGCCUAGGUCGGAUUAGCUAGUUGGUGAGGUAAUGGCUCACCAAGGCGACGAUCCGUAACUGGUCUGAGAGGAUGAUCAGUCACACUGGAACUGAGACACGGUCCAGACUCCUACGGGAGGCAGCAGUGGGGAAUAUUGGACAAUGGGCGAAAGCCUGAUCCAGCCAUGCCGCGUGUGUGAAGAAGGUCUUCGGAUUGUAAAGCACUUUAAGUUGGGAGGAAGGGUUGUAGAUUAAUACUCUGCAAUUUUGACGUUACCGACAGAAUAAGCACCGGCUAACUCUGUGCCAGCAGCCGCGGUAAUACAGAGGGUGCAAGCGUUAAUCGGAAUUACUGGGCGUAAAGCGCGCGUAGGUGGUUUGUUAAGUUGGAUGUGAAAUCCCCGGGCUCAACCUGGGAACUGCAUCCAAAACUGGCAAGCUAGAGUAUGGUAGAGGGUGGUGGAAUUUCCUGUGUAGCGGUGAAAUGCGUAGAUAUAGGAAGGAACACCAGUNGCGAAGGCGA